rnacentral:rRNA from 1 species
UGGCCCUACGGGGGGUAGCAGUGAGGAAUAUUGGUCAAUGGGCGGAAGCCUGAACCAGCCAAGUCGCGUGAGGGAAGAAGGCCCUGCGGGUCGCAGACCUCUUUGGACGGGGAGCAAGGCCGCCGACGUGUCGGCGGAAGGAGAGUACCCGUAGAACAAGCAUCGGCUAACUCCGUGCCAGCAGCCGCGGUAAUACGGAGGAUGCGAGCGUUAUCCGGAUUUACUGGGUGUAAAGGGCGAGUAGACGGCGUUGCAAGUCAGAUGUGAAAGGCUAGGG